GUGUCAGCAGCCGCGGUAAGACGUAGGAUGCGAGCGUUGUUCGGAUUUAUUGGGCGUAAAGCGUACGUAGGCGGUUCGGCAAGUGGGAGGUUAAAGACCAGGGCUCAACCCUGGGAGUGCCCCCCAAACUGCGGGACUAGAGGUUCAUAGGGGAAAGUGGAAUUCCGAGUGUAGCGGUGAAAUGCGUAGAUAUUCGGAGGAACGCCAGUGGCGAAAGCGACUUUCUGGGUGACACCUGACGCUGAGGUACGAAAGCAUGGGGAGCAAACAGGAUUAGAUACCCUGGUAGUCCAUGCCGUAAACGAUGGAUACUAGGUGCUGGGGGUAUCGACCCCCUCAGUGCCGUAGCUAACGCAUUAAGCACCCCGCCUGGGGAGUACGGCCGCAAGGCUAAAACUCAAAGGAAUUGACGG
rnacentral:rRNA from 1 species